rnacentral:tRNA from 2 species
UGGGGGAUCGUCUAAUGGUAGGACAUCACCCUUUGGAGGUGAGUAUCCUGGUUCGAGUCCAGGUCCCCCAGCUA